GUGGUUUGGGGGUUGAGGGGCUUACUGGCCAGUUUUUCCAUGUUUCUCAAAUAAAACACUGGUGUCAUCAAGAAACACUGUGGAGGGAGACAUGAAGACUUUAGAGACAGGAACCACUGCAGAAAUAUCAGGAGAUGGGGAGACAGAGGAAAGAAAGGAGAGAUCUGUGGAUCCCGUGAGCACCCCAGAUUGGAAACACUCCUUACCGUGUCUCAAGGAAGCAACAGACCUCCAAACCGCAUGGUGUACCUCAAAAGAGCAAGACCCAAGCAAGAAGAAUGCUGCCUGAUUUCCUGACAUUAACAAUGAACACAGCCAGACUGAAGAGGAGAAGGCUACUGGGACCAUGGCAGUCAAGGAAACACCAUCAACACCCAGUCUUCUUCCCAUAUUACUCAGAGACUUUUAUCUUUGCCAUCCCUAAACACAUUCCUGCAGGUCUCCAGAUCCCUUCCAGCCCAUCUUAGAUAAAACUGUGCACGAAAAAUGUGCUUCUAAUAUAGAGGUUUCCAUUUGGAGACCUUGUAUUUGAAUCACAACUCAAACUUUUUUAAUGCCACCCUCUGUUUCUCUACUGGAUCUUAAAGACAAUUGACCCUGAAGCAUAAUAAAAUAAUCAAUUAUGUCUCAUCUAUGCUAUGCUAUUUGAGAGCAUUUCCCUCAAAAUCUCUUCUAUACUUUGAUUUAAAAGUAAGAUUUAUGCCAAAAAGCCAAUGAAUGAAUAUUAAUGUGAUAUUUUAGAUAUCUAAUGAAAAAUCUCAAAUAUCGUACAAUGUAAUUAAUUUAUAUUUUCAAUAUACCAGUUUCUCACCAACUAUGAGAAUUUGAUUCCUAAAAAUCCCCUUGGUAGAAGAAUUCAGAUUCGUGAAAUAAAAGAUCUUACAGAAAAA